rnacentral:rRNA from 1 species
GGAUUGCCUCAGUAACGGCGAGUGAAGCGGCAAGAGCUCAAAUUUGAAAUCUGGCCCCUCCGGGGUCCGAGUUGUAAUUUGCAGAGGAUGCUUCGGAUACGGCCCCCGUCUAAGUGCCCUGGAACGGGCCGUCGGAGAGGGUGAGAAUCCCGUCUGGGACGGGGUGUCCGUGUCCGUGUGAAGCUCCUUCGACGAGUCGAGUUGUUUGGGAAUGCAGCUCUAAAUGGGUGGUAAAUUUCAUCUAAAGCUAAAUAUUGGCCGGAGACCGAUAGCGCACAAGUAGAGUGAUCGAAAGAUGAAAAGCACUUUGAAAAGAGAGUUAAACAGCACGUGAAAUUGUUGAAAGGGAAGCGCUUGCGACCAGACUCGCCGACGGGGUUCAGCCGGGAUUCGUCCCGGUGUACUUCCCCGCCGGCGGGCCAGCGUCGGUUUGGGCGGCCGGUCAAAGGCCUCCGGAAUGUAUCGCCCUCCGGGGCGUCUUAUAGCCGGAGGUGCAAUGCGGCCUGCCCGGACCGAGGAACGCGCUUCGGCACGGACGCUGGCA